AGUGAACGCUGGCGGUAGGCCUAACACAUGCAAGUCGAACGGCAGCACAGUAAGAGCUUGCUCUUACGGGUGGCGAGUGGCGGACGGGUGAGGAAUACAUCGGAAUCUACUUUUUCGUGGGGGAUAACGUAGGGAAACUUACGCUAAUACCGCAUACGACCUACGGGUGAAAGCAGGGGAUCUUCGGACCUUGCGCGAUUGAAUGAGCCGAUGUCGGAUUAGCUAGUUGGCGGGGUAAAGGCCCACCAAGGCGACGAUCCGUAGCUGGUCUGAGAGGAUGGUCAGCCACACUGGAACUGAGACACGGUCCAGACUCCUACGAGAGGCAGCAGUGGGGAAUAUUGGACAAUGGUCGCAAGCCUGAUCCAGCCAUACCGCGUGGGUGAAGAAGGCCUUCGGGUUGUAAAGCCCUUUUGUUGGGAAAGAAAAGCAGCAGGUUAAUACGCCGCUGUUCUGACGGUACCCAAAGAAUAAGCACCGGCUAACUUCGUG
rnacentral:rRNA from 1 species